rnacentral:rRNA from 1 species
AGUGAACGCUGGCGGUAGGCCUAACACAUGCAAGUCGAACGGCAGCACAGUAAGAGCUUGCUCUUACGGGUGGCGAGUGGCGGACGGGUGAGGAAUACAUCGGAAUCUACUUUUUCGUGGGGGAUAACGUAGGGAAACUUACGCUAAUACCGCAUACGACCUACGGGUGAAAGCAGGGGAUCUUCGGACCUUGCGCGAUUGAAUGAGCCGAUGUCGGAUUAGCUAGUUGGCGGGGUAAGGCCCACCAAGGCGACGAUCCGUAGCUGGUCGGGGAGGAUGGUCGGCCACACUGGAACUUGGCCACGGUCCCGACUCCUGCGGGAGGGAGCAGUGGGGAAUAUUGGACAAUGGGCGCAAGCCUGAUCCAGCCAUACCGCGUGGGUGAAGAAGGCCUUCGGGUUGUAAAGCCCUUUUGUUGGGAAAGAAAAGCAGCAGGUUAAUACCCCGCUGUUCUGACGGUACCCAAAGAAUAAGCACCGGCUAACUUCGUG